GUAACUCGCUGGAAAAAAAUGUUUCUCGUGAAAUUAGCAUUCAUUGCUAAUUAAUCCUAGGCAGUUAUGAUCUUGCUGAGGAAGCGGUCCUGCGGCGCCGCAAGCCUCCUUCCCGUCUGUCAAUGAGGCCUGAAG